rnacentral:lncRNA from 1 species
AUUACUUGGAGGAAUAUCACAAGGUUUAGGACUUGAAGAAUGUUAUUUGGAAAAAACUCUAGAGAUGAAGCCAGGAUUUCAAUUUUUUUUUGCAAAUUAUUACCCAUGUUGUCCUCAGCCAGAACUUGCACUUGGUAUGCCACCUCAUUCAGAUCAUGGCCUUUUAACUCUAAUUAUUCAAAACCAAGUUGGAGGAUUACAAGUUCAACAUCAAGGCAAGUGGAUUCAUGUCAAUGCCCUUCCCAACUCACUCUUGGUCAAUAUCGACGAUCAUCUCGAGGUAAUUCAGUUGACUGACUAUCUAAACUUUCGUUUUCUAUGCGUGUGAGAUUUAUAAGUUGAAUAGUAUAAUUAUUAAUACUUGGUAUGCUAAAAGUUGGCUAGAUUUGUUUUUUUGCAACAAAGAAAGAGGCAUGUGUUCAAUGUACCUUUGACUCAAUUAAAACAAUCCACAAAGCUAUAGAUAGAGUCAAAUACGCAAGUUCGACUCAAUUAAUAAUUAUUAUUUUUUUAAAUUUUUUUUUUUUUUAAUUAAAAAAUGGUUCUUAGUGAUAAUAUAUUUUAAAAAUUUAUACGAUAUUAUUUUAUACUUGGUAUGAUAUUUAAGAUUUUUUUAAAAAGAAAAUUGUGAUUUAAAAUUAUUAUUAAAUAUUUAUGUAACUAAAAGAAUUUUCAUCAGAUGAACAGAGAAAAUUUUAAAAAUAAAUUAUUUUUAAUUACAGAAAAGUUAUACUAAAAAUAAAAAUAUGUUACAUAUAUUUAAAUAGUAAAAAUAACUAUUAAUUAAAUAAUCACGAUAAUAAUUAAAUCCAAACAUGGGUCACUAAAAUUUUCAGUCAUCAAAAAGAUACUCUUGAUGUGAUAUAUGUUAUAAAACUGAAAAAUCGUCAAAAAUAUCUUUUGAAUUAUACAAAUUGAAUAGGUAUAUAAUUAAUAGUUUAAUUUUAAAAUAUGUUUAUUAUCAAUAAUUUAAUUCAGAAAUAUCCCUAUUAUUAUAUAAUGCGUAAAAAUGUAUUUUUCCUAAUAUAUAUAUAUAUAUAUAAAUUUUUCAAACACAUUUUAUUCCUGAACAAAAUACUACUUUCAAAGAAUAUUUUUCUUUUAAAAUCAUCUGAACUAAUAAAUAAAUAAUUAACUAGAAAUUAUUAUUAGAAAAAGAAUGUGUCUAAAACGAAAUGAAAUAAUAUAUUGAAUUAUUUGAGAAAAGGGUAUAUUUGACUCAUUAAAUAAUUAAAAAAAUAAUUAUUUUAAUCAAAUUAUUAGCGAAAGUGAUAUUUUUAAAAUAAAUGACAUUUUUGUUCAAUCUCACAUAGUUCAAAAGAUACUUUUUAAACUUUUUCUGUAUAAUUAGGUUCCUCACCCCAUCUCUCCAAUUAGUUAAAUAAAUGGUCACUGGAAAAAAAGAACAUCUCAUUUUACUAUAUUCAAUAACUUCUCUUAUAGUCGCAAUUAUUAUUAUAUGCGCUUACAAUAUUUUUCAGUAAUCGAAAAAAUCAUGUUUCAACAUUAAAAUCUUUGGUAGAGGCCGCCUCGCCACCAGUGGCGGAGCCAGGAUUUAAAUUGAGGGGUGUCAAAAUAUAAAGUAGUAUGCACACAAGUUGUCUAAAAAGUUAAAAAAAAAAGCUGAAAGCCUUUAAAAAAAAUAGGCUUCAGCAAGGUUCGAACUCCCAACGCCUAGGUCAAUGACAAGGGGAAACUUUGUAGCCCCUGAACCGCUGAACCAACACUUCAACUUGGUUCAGGAGUGUCAAUUCUAAUAUAUAUAGGUAUAAAAUCAGAAUUUGACUUACCUAUACAACGUAAUUUUCCGAUGAAGGGGUGUCGCUUGACACCCCUCGGGCAAGGGUAGCUCCGCCCCUGCUCGCCACAUUAUCGGACGUACCACACCUCCACAAACUCAUGUAUCAAAUGGCAAAAUAUCACAAUUAUACUAAAGUUUUUAAUGCCACGAAAGCUUUCGUUACUACCAACCUUUUCAAAUCAGAUAAUCCAUGCCCUCCUUUCUACUCGGUUACCACAUUCAUUCUUGAAGUCUCACCUGACUCUUUUCCUCAAAAUACCCCUAGACAAUCCCAUUUUCAACCCGAUUUUGAAAAUCACUAAUCUUGAUUCACCUAUAUUAGACUUAGAACUAGAACUGUUCAAAACAAACAACAACAUAUCCAAUAUAGUCUCACAAGUGGAUAAAUCCUUAUCUUGUGAAGGUACAUAAGUUGUUUUCUCGAUAAAUCCUCGACUCAAGAAUUGGUCAGAGCCAAUGAAGAUAAUAACGUCUUCGUAGUUGGCUAUGUUCUUUUUUACCCUUGCUAUUCGGGGUACUUUGACAAACCUGUUUUUUUUCUUAUUGAGAACAUGUAUGUUAGGGAGUGUUAUAGAAAGUGUGGAUUUGGGAAAAUGUUGUCAAACGUUUUAGGCUUUCUAGUGAAGGACUUGAUGCAUUUGCUACAAGUGAGGAUGCUAAUAAUUAGUUUAGAUAGAACUAUUAAAUAUUAAUUCUAAGUUGUAUGUCGAAAUCUAAAGUCAUCAAAAGAUUCAAUACAAGUGUUUCAUAUUUAAGGGGUAGUUUGUUAGGGUGUAUUUGAAAAAAAUAAUAGAUGUUUUACACUGAUAUAUUGUUCAAUAUACUUUUUCAAUUUAUGUAAUACAUGAAAAGUCAUGAUAUUAGCAAUACAAGGGAUUUAAAUGUAUGCAUUAGCAUGAAUACAAUUGCCCUCAUAACCUUUUCCAGACACAUCCUUUUUGUUAUAUUUGUGGAAGGUAUUUUUAUGAACAAAUAAGUAUUUUGUUUUAAAAAUAUGUCAUGCAUGUUAUAACAGCUUGUCAAGCUAUCUGGCUAAGGAGAGUGUUAUCAGAUCUUCAACAGGAGCAUCAGAAGGGAGCAACAUAGAUAUUUCGCAAUAAUAAAGCAACUAUCUCCAUAACAAUGAGUGUGUGAUGUAUUACAAUAUUGAUAUUUUAGGAUUAGUUAUUUAUUCUUAGCCCAUAUAUCAUUUGGACAUAUUUUGUUAUUGUUAUAUUUUCUAGUUUGUCUAAAAUUUAAAAAAUUCAGACGCAACUUUUCUUCUCGUUAUUUUUUCUGGACUUUUCUUUGCUCUAUGUCCAAUAAUAAUUUAGAGACGAAACUAAUAAUUUGCGUCCUGUUUUCAAUACUUUCUUUCAUAUAAUAAAUAUGGACAAGUUUACUAUCAAACAAAAUAACAAGUCAUUCAAAAAAAAAGUUAAAAUUGUAAAUCAAAUAUCUCCAUUGGCAACUAAAGUUGUUGUUCUCUUAUAAAUCAUCUCCAUAUUGCAUACACAAUAUACCACCAUUUUUAGCUAAAAUUAAAGUUCUUAUAUUAUGACAACUCCAAUAAUUCAACCAUCUAUUAGUGUUAAAACACUUUCUGAAUCGCCAAAUCUCAAAUCUAUUCCUUCUAAUUAUGUUAACUCUGAUAUCUAUCCCUUUGAUUUCAUUGCAUCUGAGCCACAUGAUUAUUCAAACUCCAUCCCCACCGUUGAUUUUUCGCUACUCACAUCCACUGAUCCUCAUCAACGGUCUCAAGCUAUCAACAAUCUUAAUAAAGCUUGCCAAGAUUGGGGAUUUUUCACGGUACACUAUAAUAUGUUUUUAUAUUAUUAUUAUUUUUUGGUGAGAAACUAUGAAACUAAGAAUAUUGCACAUAGUUGUUAGUACUUCUUUUGUCCUAAUUUAUGUAAAGACGUUGAGUUGAUUUCAUAAUGGUUAAUUAUUAUGUCAAAAAAUCAUGCUUCUUUUUUAUAAUCAUUUUCUUCAAAAAAAAAAUUUGAUUUUCUGAUAUAAUAAUUGUUAGUUGAUUGAUUGGGCAAGGGGAUAAUUUGAGGAUGAUACUUAUGGCUCUAAAACAAGUCAUACAUAUUUAUGUAGCUAUGACUCAUUUCAGUAAAAGUGAAAUUGAAUUAAAUUGUUACAAUAUGCUAAAUAUAAAAAAGUGUCAUUUUUUUUCUAAACAGACUAAAAAGAAAAAAGAAAAAUAUCGUAUACCUAAAUAUGUUUCAUGGUGAAGGUGGUUAACCAUGGGAUACAAGAAAGUUUGAUGAAGAAAGUGAUUGAUGGUACUCAAGAAUUUUUCAAUUUAAGAGAGGAAGAGAAGAAAGAAUUUGAAGGGAAACAUGUUUUGGAUCCUAUAAGGUAUGGGACAAGCUUCAAUACCUCUAAGGAGAAAGCUUUCUUUUGGAGGGAUUAUCUUAAGGUGUUUGUGCAUCCAAAGUUCCACUCUCCUAGCAAACCCGAUCAAUACAGGUAUACCAGGAAUCUUAAUAGCUCAGUUUGUUGAUUGUACUUACGUAUAACCAUUAUAUAUUAUUAUUAUUUUAUUUCUCUUUUUUUUUUAAUAGUGAUAUUAUGUGGGAGUAUUGUCAGAAAGUUAGACAAGUAACAAAAGUAUUACUUGGAGGAAUAUCACAAGGUUUAGGACUUGAAGAAUGUUAUUUGGAAAAAACUCUAGAGAUGAAGUCAGGAUUUCAAAUUUUUAUUGCAAAUUAUUACCCAUGUUGUCCUCAGCCAGAACUUGCACUUGGUAUGCCACCUCAUUCAGAUCAUGGCCUUUUAACUCUAAUUAUUCAAAACCAAGUUGGAGGAUUACAAGUUCAACAUCAAGGCAAAUGGAUUCAUGUCAAUGCACUACCUAACUCUCUCUUGGUCAAUACCGGCGACCAUCUCGAGGUAAUUCA